AGGUGGAGUUUCACCAUGCUAGCCAGGCUGGUCUUGAACUCCUGACUUCAGGUGAUCUGCCCGCCUUGGCCUCCCAAAGUGUUGAGACUACAGGCAUGAGCCACCGCGCCUGGCCACUGAUGCUUAUUUUUUAAGGCGGUAAUAGUACAUGAGGAAGUGAAAAUAUGAGGAAGUACAAAUCUCAUGUUCAUUCCCUGCCUCUGUUACUGACAUGCUGUCCAUUUUCUAAUUCUAAUCCCUGCCUGCCUCUCCGCCCUCACGUUUUGGGGGAUGGACACAGUUGCAGGGGAAAUGGAAGACAUUACUGAUCAUGGACAUCGAGGGUGGAGAGAGAAACUUGGGCAUCAAACUAGCCCUGAGAACUGUACCAAUGAGGUUGAAAACAUUUGUAAACCAUUGCCUAGUAAAAGCAGUCACUGAGAUCAGCGUUUUGGAUGAUUAAUAUCUCUUAAAAACAUUUUAUAAUUCCCUCAACAAAGCUCUUGCAAACUGUGGUAGAGGCUGUUAGUGCUCUCCAAUAUCCAUGUUUUCUGCCCACUCCUUGGAAUCCAGCAGGAUUGGUCAAUAGUGGCCUAGCUAUAGUGGUCAACGUCCCCUAUGAUUGGGUGCAACCAUGAGACUGAGUUCUGGCCAAUGGAUUGUGGCAGGAGUGAUGUGUUCCAGAUUUUCCCUCAUGAAACUUCCUCAUGCUUGACUUGUGCUCUCUCUUUUCCUAUCUACCCGCUGAAUGGAGAUAACUUUGAGUACCUAGAGAAGGAUGGAGCUACAAGAUGGAAUGAGCCUGGGACCCUGAAUGGCCACGUGUAGCAGAGCCUCUCUGCUGACCUGGAACAUUAACCUCAGACUCUUUUGAGUUGUGCAACCAUCACCACAAUGAAUUGUAGAAUAUUUUCAUCACUCCAAACAGAAACCCUGCAUCUAUGAGUUGUCACUCUUCAACUUGCCUCUGCCACUCCUUUCAACUAUUAC
rnacentral:lncRNA from 1 species